UUAAGUUGCAUGAAGCAACCACCCUUUCCACUUCUCGCACGGCUCAAGAAAUACAGGGGAUUAGAGACUUUAAGUUGGAUUUUUUAUUUGCCUCUGCCUGAGGAAUUCAUAAUGAACCACAUAGAUGGAGGGGAAUCAAAUUGAAAAACAAAUACAGGGGAAACGUUACUACAAAAGAGAGUCCAAAUACACAUCUUAAAAAGAAAAAAAAAGGAGAGAAAGCAAAUAUACAGGAGAGAAGGAGAGCAAUAGAAAUCAGUGACAACAAUGAGAAGGAACUGCUUACUGCCAGAUGCAUUGGAGAGGAUCUAUAAGAGCUUAUUCAUGAAUACCUCCAUUAUCCAUCCCCAUCAAAAAUCCAUCACCCGUUAACCUUUCACCAUACUCACUUCCACCAACACGCAAUUCACACAUAAAUAAGCCAAAAUCCAUCUCGGCUUUCAUAUUUAAUCACAUAUUCGCACCUUCAUCCAACACCAAUUUUUUCUUCCCCAUUCUUCCAUCACCUUCAACCUACAAUCAGAAAGCAGAGAGUCGGCGAGUCAAAGCUCGAAUAGGCUGAAUGAUGAUGGUCUCCGAAUGGCAGGGUCGCGCAGUCGUGAGUGGAAUGGUGCUCGCGCAGAAGCUAUUCUAUGUCACACCUGAGAUGAAGGAGCACGAAGAACGAGCACCCUUGGGUUCUCGUCGACAUCUCUGACAUCGGUUGGCAUUGCUGGCAAGCCAAUCGCGGGAUGGCACGGUGAAACAGAGACAAAGGUGGUGUUUUGGUGGACAAUGACGAGAGAGAAAGUCUAGCGGAAGAAGAAGAUGGAAGAUGAGUCGUCGCCGGAGAGUCGCCGGUAAUGGCCUCUGGUCAAGCAGGACGAAGCGACAGCGAGCAGGCCUCUGUUGGAAUGGCUUUCGUUUCAGAGAAAUGAAAAUUAGGGUUUUCUUUUUGUUUGUUAAAGGGAAGAUGGGCUGACCAAACUUUCUGCACCUUGCACCCCCAUAAUUCUUCUUGCACCCCUCUAUUUAUUUUUUGUGUUGUUUCCAUUUCGUUUGUGCACCCCCUGGAUGUUAUUCCCACUCCCCUUGCUCUGUAUUUUUGUUUUGGGUUUUAUUGCUUGCAAACACCACUACUCUUCCCUGACUACUUCCUACACCACCAUGUUUACUGACCCCACUCCCUUUGCAUAUUUUAUUGUCACUUUUGGGCUUGUUUUA